UGUCCCAGGUGAGCUCAGGUGAGCGACAGGUGUGUCCCAGGUGAGCCCAGGUGUGUCCCAUGUGUGCCCAGGUGUAUCUGAGGUGUGCCCCAGGUGAGCUCAGGUGUGUUCAGGUGUGCCCCAGGUGAGCUCAGGUGUGCUCCAUGUGUAUCUCAGGUGUGUCCCAGGUGUGUUUAGGUGCGUUCCAGGUAAGCUCAGGUGUGCCCCAGGUGAGCUCAGGUGUGUCCCAGGUGUAUCUGAGGUGUGCCCCAGGUGAGCUCAGGUGUGCCCCAGGUGUGCCCAGGUGUGUUCAGGUGUGUCCCAGAUUAGCUCAGGUGUGUCCCAGGUGUGCCCAGGUGUGUUCAGGUGUGCCCCAGGUGAGCUCAGGAGUGUCCCAUGUGUGCCCAGGUGUAUCUGAGGUGUGCCCCAGGUGUGUCUCAGGUGAGCUCAGGUGUGCCCCAGGUGUGUCCCAGGUGAGCUCAAG